rnacentral:rRNA from 1 species
GACGGGGCCCGCACAAGCGGUGGAGCAUGUGGUUUAAUUCGAUGCAACGCGAAGAACCUUACCUGGUCUUGACAUCCCGGAGACCCUUAGGAAACUAGGGGGUGCUUCCAUCUGGAAGAAUCUGGAGACAGGUGCUGCAUGGCUGUCGUCAGCUCGUGUCGUGAGAUGUUGGGUUAAGUCCCGCAACGAGCGCAACCCUUGCCUUUAGUUGCCAGCAGUUCGGCUGGGCACUCUAAAGGGACUGCCGGUGUUAAACCGGAGGAAGGUGGGGAUGACGUCAAGUCCUCAUGGCCUUUAUGACCAGGGCUACACACGUACUACAAUGGCCGAUACAAAGGGCAGCGACACUGCGAGGUGAAGCCAAUCCCGUAAAAUCGGUCUCAGUCCGGAUUGGAGUCUGCAACUCGACUCCAUGAAGUUGGAAUCGCUAGUAAUCGUGGAUCAGCAUGCCACGGUGAAUACGUUCCCGGGCCUU